rnacentral:lncRNA from 1 species
CUGUGAUGCUGACAUUGAUGGGCGAUUUGCAAUUGACUCAGCUGGGUUUGAACAGCAUUUAAUAUUGCCUUAUGACUGCAAGAAAAAAAAAAGUCAUUCUCAAGAAUUUUACUGACAUUGAGGAAGACAGGAGUAAAUGAAACAAAAAGGAAUAAGAGAACUCCUUUUUCCUGCUUUGUACUCCAAGAAAAUUCUAGAUUAAUAUAAAGAAGAUAACAGAUUUUUCAAGUAUCCAGAAUGAAGAAUUCCAUUGAUUCUGCUUUCUUUCUAGGAGGGUCUGUAAUUUCCAUGGCUCUUUCAAGAGAUCAGGUCGGUUUUUGGUUGAAGAUCGGUGUUUUCUUCUCAGCUGAUUAUCAGUGAUAGCCUUUAAAACAGAUUUACUCGCCUGAAUUAGUUGAGUGUCUAUGUAGUCAGUGACAAAUGCAAGCAUAUUUACUUGCAAUGUUUUCUUUUUCUAGAGGAAAUGUUGUGAAGCCACUGCACGUGAACAGCAUCUCUGGGGAAGAAACACAUGAUUGUGAAUUUUAAAGGAGAGAAUCAACGCCUGUCUGCCUCCAGUCACUCUCUUGUUGCCUUGGCUAUUCUGUUGUUGGGUGUUGUGUCUGAAGAGCCAAGAAGAGCAGAUGUGGGGAAAAAGAAACUGGAGAGCAACAGAAAAUAUCAUAAAAUAGAUAUCUGCCACUCAAAACCAUACGUUUCUCAUAUCUACUUUUGUCUGCUUGGUGCUUUUCUAUAGGAAAUCUACUCUUGCAUUUCUGACAGUGCAGCUGUACUAACUGAAAUGACUGAUUACAUGCUUUUUGAAGGACAAGUAUGAAUCUGCAAAUAUAUUUACAUUUCCUAAUUAAUGUUUUAAAGAUUUUUAACUUGAGAUUGAAAUGACUCUAAACUUCAACGAGGUUAAUGCUAAUAUGUGUUGGAUCUAAUCUUUGAUACCCAGGACACCCUGGGAAACUGUGGAUCGCUGCAGGGGUUCAAUAUCUGUACCUAUGUAAUUCCUCUUUUUAGCUUUUUAGAAUGGGGGGAGGGGGAAAUGUGUGUGUGUGUGUGUGUGUGUGUGUGUGUAUGUGUGAGGGGGAAUUAAAGAUAUAUUUUUAUAGAUAGUUAGCAAGAGCCAUGGGCAUUAUGGGAGCCCUAAAUAUGGGAGAAUAUAACUGAACUUGGCUGAAGAAUAGGCCAUGUUUAGUCUCCUGCACAGCACCAAAUGUUACUCCAAAUGAAUCCUCACUGAGGUUCAUGGAAGACUAAAGCUUAUUGUCUGAGCAGCAUUUCAGUUCUAACUUUUGCACAAG